rnacentral:lncRNA from 1 species
UUUACUUCUUCUUUCUCCUCCUCUUUUAUACUUUCUUCUUCUUCCUCUUUUGUAAUUUCUUCUUCUUCUUCUUUUAUAAUUUCUUCUUCUUCCUCUUUUAUAUCUUCUUCUUUUUCCUCCUCUUUUAUAAUUUCUUCUUUUUCCUCUUUUGUAAUUUCUUCUUCCUCCUCUUUUAUAAUUUCUUCUUCUUCCUCUUUUAUAUCUUCUUCUUUUUCUUCUUCCUCUUUUAUAAUUUCUUCUUCUUCCUCUUUUAUAUCUUCUUCUUUUUCUUCUUCCUCUUUUAUAUCUUCUUUUUCCUCCUCUUUUAUAUCUUCUUCCUUCUCCUCCUCUUUUAUACUUUCUUCUUCUUCUUCUUCUUUUAUAAUUUUUUCUUCCUCUUUUAUAUCUUCUUCUUUUUCCUCCUCUUUUAUAUCUUCUUCUUUUUCCUUCUCUUUUAUAAUUUCUUCUUCUUCCUCUUUUGUAAUUUCUUCUUUUUCCUCCUCUUUUAUAUCUUCUUCCUUCUCCUCCUCUUUUAUACUUUCUUCUUCUUCCUCCUCUUUUAUACUUUCUUCUUCUUCUUCUUUUAUAUCUUCUUCUUCUUCCUCUUUUAUAUCUUCUUUUCCCUCCUCUUUUAUAUCUUCUUCUUUUUCCUCCUCUUUUAUAUCUUCUUCUUUUUCCUCCUCUUUUAUACUUUCUUCUUCUUCCUCUUUUGUAAUUUCUUCUUCUUCAUUUUUUAUACUUUCUUCUUCUUCCUCUUUUAUAUCUUCUUCUUUUACAUUUUCCUUCUCCUCUUUUAUACUUUCUUCUUCUUCUUCAUUUUUUAUACUUUCUUCUUCUUCUUCCUCUUUUAUAAUUUCUUCUUCUUCCUCUUUUAUAUCUGCUUCUUUUACUUCUUUUUCUUCCUCUUUUAUAUCUUCUUCUUUUUCCUCCUCUUUUAUAGCUUCUUCUUCCUUCUCCUCUUUUAUACUUUCUUCUUCUUCCUCUUUUGUAAUUUCUUCUUCUUCUUCUUUUAUAAUUUCUUCUUCUUCCUCUUUUAUAUCUUCUUCUUUUUCCUCCUCUUUUAUAUCUUCUUCUUUCUCCUCCUCUUUUAUAUCUUCUUCUUUCGCCUCAUCUUUUGUAUCUUCUUCUUUUACAUCUUUCUCCUCCUCUUUUAUAUCUUCUUCUUUCUCCUUCUCUUUUAUAUCUUCUUCUUUCGCC